rnacentral:lncRNA from 1 species
UCUCCAUGCAUGUUACUAAAUGGUUUGAUAAGGAACACGAGCGGCAGUACAUACAUAUGAUAGGAUGUAAAUAUAGCUAUUCCACUAAAGUUAUAAAGGGCUUAUGGAAAAAGUUACUGCGGUCUACAUAUGGCACUGAUCUACAUGAACCCAUGCCCCAGCGAUCUGACACAUGUAACUACUUCAAAGUCGCAUAUGAUAAGAAUGUAGUUCGCCUCCUUACCAAAGCUUUGAAGAACGAACAGUCUAUAUUAGUUAAAAAAAAGAGGCCCCACAGUUUUUGAGCUACUCCGCAACCAUGAGGACCCAAUAGCGGAGGAUAGGAAGGUGGGGAUAUAUUUCAUCUCAUUAUAUAACAAAGAUGAGAAUUGCACCCAAUGGUAUAUAGGCAGUACCAGGAGAAACAUAAAAAAGAUAUUAAAUGAACAUAAGGCUGAUAUCUCUAAAGGAAAAACAUGCACCACCCUGGCCAUGAAAGCUUACGAACAGGUCAUAGAAAUAAACUGGAAUCAGGCCAAGAUAAUUAAGCCGCUCUGGGAUAAUGCCGGAAUCAUUACUAUAGAAGCCAUUG